GUCUAAGUACAAGCCUUAGUAAGGUGAAACCGCGAAUGGCUCAUUAAAUCACACCUGAUGCACCGGACGAUUCAAGUUACUUGGAUAACUGUGGUAAUUCUAGAGCUAAUACACGCAUCAACGCCCGACUCACGUAGGGCUGCUGUUAUUAGAUUCAAGACCAAUCGGUUCGUCUUCGGGCGAACUGAACGCUGGUGACUCUGAAUAAACGUUGCUGACCGCAUGGCCCCGCGCCGGCGGCGCGUCCGUACAAGGUGUGCCCUAUCAACUGUCGACUGUGGCAUAGACGCUCACAAUGGUUUUGACGGGUAACGGGGAAUUAGGGUUCGAUUCCGGAGAGGGAGCCUGAGAGACGGCUACCACUUCCAAGGAAGGCAGCAGGCACGCAAAUUACCCACUGAUCGAAGAUCGAGGUAGUGACGAAAAAUAACGAUACGGGACUCUUCUGAGGCCCCGUAAUCGGAAUGAGAACACUUUAAAUCCUUUAACGAGGAGCAAUUGGAGGGCAAGUCUGGUGCCAGCAGCCGCGGUAAUUCCAGCUCCAAUAGCGUAUAUUAAAGUUGUUGCGGUUAAAAAGCUCGUAGUUGGAUCUUGACGUUGUUUAUGCGGUUUGCCUUUGGUUUAACACUGCAUAGAACGCGUUGCGGUGACGGUCUCGCGGCCGGUGCUCUUCAUUGAGUGUCGGUAGCGGCCGUCGUGUUUACUUUGAAAAAAUUAGAGUGCUCAAAGCAAGCUUUACGCUUGAAUAUUAGUGCAUGGAAUAAUAAAAUAGGACGUUGGUUCUAUUUUGUUGGUCUCUAGAGCCGACGUAAUGAUUAACAGGGACAGUUGGGGGCAUUUGUAUUCUGACGACGGAGGUGAAAUUCUUGGACCGUUAGAGGACUAACUACUGCGAAAGCAUUUGCCAAGAAUGUUUUCAUUAAUCAAGAACGAAAGUUAGAGGUUCGAAGGCGAUCAGAUACCGCCCUAGUUCUAACCAUAAACGAUGCCAGCUAGCGAUCUGCGGGCGUUUUUUCGAUGACUCCGCAGGCAGCUUCCGGGAAACCAAAGCUUGUGGGUUCCGGGGGAAGUAUGGUUGCAAAGCUGAAACUUAAAGGAAUUGACGGAAGGGCACCACCAGGAGUGGAGCCUGCGGCUUAAUUUGACUCAACACGGGAAAUCUCACCAGGCCCGGACACUGGAAGGAUUGACAGAUUGAAAGCUCUUUCUUGAUUCGGUGGGUGGUGGUGCAUGGCCGUUCUUAGUUGGUGGAGUGAUUUGUCUGGUUAAUUCCGAUAACGAACGAGACUCUCUCCUGCUAAAUAGUCGUCGCCUCCUUUGUUGCGCGGCGAAUUCUUCUUAGAGGGACUGGCGGCUUCCAGCCAUACAAGAUUGAGCAAUAACAGGUCUGUGAUGCCCUUAGAUGUUCUGGGCUGCACACGCGCUACACUGAAGGGAUCAGCGUGUUUUCCCUGCCCGAGAGGGACGGGUAACCCGCUGAACCCCCUUCGUGGUAGGGAUCGGAGCUUGCAAUUGUUCUCCGUGAACCAGGAAUUCCCAGUAAGCGUAAGUCAUAAGCUUGCGUUGAUUACGUCCCUGCCCUUUGUACACACCGCCCGUCGCUACUACCGAUUGAACGUUUUAGUGAGGAGUUCGGACGGGGCCUCUGCAGUUUAGCGCCUG
rnacentral:rRNA from 1 species